AGCAGCCGCGGUAAUUCCAGCCCCAAUAGCGUAUAUUAAAGUUGUUGCAGUUAAAAAGACUCGUAGUUGAAUUUCGGGAUCAAUAUAUCGGUCAUGCUUAGGUAUGUACUGGUAUUAUUGAUUUCUCCCUUCUGAAGAACCAUGAUGUCAUUAAUUUGAUGUCGUGGGGAAUCAGGACUGUUACUUUGAAAAAAUUAGAGUGUUUAAAGCAGGCAUACGCUUGAAUACAUUAGCAUGGAAUAAUGAAAUAGGACGUUUGAUUCUAUUUUGUUGGUUUCUAGGAUCGACGUAAUGAUUAAUAGGGAUAGUUGGGGGCAUUAGUAUUCAAUUGUCAGAGGUGAAAUUCUUGGAUUUAUUGAAGACUAACUACUGCGAAAGCAUUUGCCAAGGAUGUUUUCAUUAAUCAAGAACGAAAGUUAGGGGAUCGAAGACGAUCAGAUACCGUCGUAGUCUUAACCAUAAACUAUGCCGACUAGGGAUCGGAUGAUGUUAAUUUUUAAUGACUC
rnacentral:rRNA from 1 species